rnacentral:rRNA from 14 species
GUCUGUGGCCAUACUACCCUGAACAUAUCUGAUUUCUUCUUAUCUUAGAAGCUAAGCAAGGUUGGGCUUUCUUAAUACUUUGAUAGCACAAAGGCAUAUAAUGUAAUCCUAGAUG